GAUGAACGCUGGCGGCGUGCCUAACACAUGCAAGUCGAGCGAUUCUCUUCGGAGAAGAGCGGCGGACGGGUGAGUAACGCGUGGGUAACCUGCCCUGUACACACGGAUAACAUACCGAAAGGUAUGCUAAUACGAGAUAAUAUGCUUUUAUCGCAUGGUAGAAGUAUCAAAGCUUUUGCGGUACAGGAUGGACCCGCGUCUGAUUAGCUAGUUGGUAAGGUAACGGCUUACCAAGGCGACAAUCAGUAGCCGACCUGAGAGGGUGAUCGGCCACAUUGGAACUGAGACACGGUCCAAACUCCUACGGGAGGCAGCAGUGGGGAAUAUUGCACAAUGGGCGAAAGCCUGAUGCAGCAACGCCGCGUGAGCGAUGAAGGCCUUCGGUCGUAAAGCUCUGUCCUCAAGGAAGAUAAUGACGGUACUUGAGGAGGAAGCCCGGCUAACGUACGUGCCAGCAG
rnacentral:rRNA from 1 species